AUGAACAAAACCGGGCGGCUGGCUUUGGUCAAAUUGGUGCUCGCCGCGAUCCCGAUACAUCAACUGCUCGCGUUUGCGCCACCCAAGAAGACCCUGAGACAGCUCGAAAAGAUCCAGCGCGGCUUCUUGUGGGCUGGGCGCGCUGCUGCUAACGGCGGACACUGCCACGUCAACUGGCGACGUGUGUGCCGUCCGGUUGAGUACGGCGGGCUGGGAGUCCAGGACCUGGAGCGCGCUUGUCUGGCGUUGCGCCUGCGCUGGAUGUGGUUCUCCCACACGGACGACGACCGCGCAUGGCGAGGCCUCGACCUCCAGUUUUCCCGCGAGGAGCGUGCGCUGUUCUUCGCAUCGACGACCAUGGAGCUUGGAGAUGGACUGACGGCACUGUUUUGGGACGACCGAUGGCUCAAUGGUCAGUCCGUGCGUGAACUCGCACCGGCACUCUACCAAUGCAUACCCCAACGGCGACGCAAAUCAAGAAUGGUGGUCGCAGGCCUUGCGGGCAACGCUUGGGCUCGUGACAUACAAGGAGUGAUAGGGAUUCAUGAGAUUGGCCAAUACCUGAGGCUUUGGCAAGCCGUGCAGCACAUCAGCCUAUCACACAGGCCUGACCGAAUGCUCUAG
rnacentral:rRNA from 1 species